CCUACGGGUGGCAGCAGUGAGGAAUAUUGGUCAAUGGACGAGAGUCUGAACCAGCCAAGUAGCGUGAAGGAUGACUGCCCUAUGGGUUGUAAACUUCUUUUAUAUGGGAAUAAAAUGUUCCACGUGUGGGAUUUUGUAUGUACCAUAUGAAUAAGGAUCGGCUAACUCCGUGCCAGCAGCCGCGGUAAUACGGAGGAUCCGAGCGUUCUCCGGAUUUAUUGGGUUUAAAGGGAGCGUAGGUGGAUUGUUAAGUCAGUUGUGAAAGUUUGCGGCUCAACCGUAAAAUUGCAGCUGAAACUGGCAGUCUUGAGUACAGAAGAGGUGGGCGGAAUUCGUGGUGUAGCGGUGAAAUGCUUAGAUAUCACGAAGAACUCCGAUUGCGAAGGCAGUUCACUGGACUGCAACUGACACUGAGGCUCGAAAGUGUGGGUAUCAAACAGGAUUAGAUACCCGUGUAGUC
rnacentral:rRNA from 1 species